rnacentral:sRNA from 1 species
UUCAGAUUGAAGAAGAAAAUUGGCAGAAUUCUUGACAGGUUGGACACUGAAAUUUGGAUCAAAAAUCACAUAAUCUUUAUUGAA